ACGCGAAAGCUCCCUUCGGGGAGCAAGUAGAGUGGCGCACGGGUGAGUAACACGUAGGUAAUCUACCUUUGGAUGGGGAAUAACAACCGGAAACGGUUGCUAAUACCGCAUAAUGCAGCGGCACCUAAUGGUGACAGUUGUUAAAGCGGGGGAUCGAAAGACCUCGCGUCUGAAGAGGAGCCUGCGGCAGAUUAGCUAGUUGGUAAGGUAACGGCUUACCAAGGCGAUGAUCUGUAGCCGGCCUGAGAGGGCGGUCGGCCACACUGACACUGACAUACGGGUCAGACUCCUACGGGAGGCAGCAGUCGGGAAUUUUGGGCAAUGGGCGAAGGCCUGACCCAGCAACGCCGCGUGAAGGAUGAAAUCCCUCGGGAUGUAAACUUCGCAAGAACGGGAAGAAUAAGUAAGGGUUAAUAUCCCUUACGAUGACGGUACUGUUUGUAAGCUCCGGCUAACUCCGUGCCAGCAGCCGCGGUAAUACGGGGGGAGCAAGCGUUG
rnacentral:rRNA from 1 species